rnacentral:sRNA from 1 species
GGGGAAUUUUCCGCAAUGGGCGCAAGCCUGACGGAGCAAUACCGCGUGGGGGAGUAAGGUCUGUGGAUUGUAAACCCCUUUUCUCAGGGAAGAAGCUCUGACGGUACCUGAGGAAUCAGCAUCGGCUAACUCCGUGCCAGCAGCCGCGGUAAUACGGAGGAUGCAAGCGUUAUCCGGAAUUAUUGGGCGUAAAGCGUCCGCAGGCGGUCAAAUAAGUCUGCUUUCAAAGAGUGGGGCUCAACCCCAUAAAGGGAGUGGAAACUGUUUGACUAGAGUGUGGUAGGGGCAGAGGGAAUUCCCAGUGUAGCGGUGAAAUGCGUAGAUAUUGGGAAGAACACCAGUGGCGAAGGCGCUCUGCUGGACCAAGACUGACGCUGAGGGACGAAAGCUAGGGGAGCGAAAGGGAUUAGAUACCCCUGUAGUCCUAGCUGUAAACGAUGGACACUAGGUGUUGCGCGUAUCGACCCGUGCAGUGCCGUAGCCAACGCGUUAAGUGUCCCGCCUGGGGAGUACGCACGCAAGUGUGAAACUCAAAGGAAUUGACGGGGGCCCGCACAAGCGGUGGAGUAUGUGGUUUAAUUCGAUGCAACGCGAAGAACCUUACCAAGGCUUGACAUCCUGCGAAUCUCCUUGAAAGGGGAGAGUGCCUUCGGGAGCGCAGAGACAGGUGGUGCAUGGCUGUCGUCAGCUCGUGUCGUGAGAUGUUGGGUUAAGUCCCGCAACGAGCGCAACCCACGUCUUCAGUUGCCAUCAUUAAGUUGGGGACUCUGGAGAGACUGCCGGUGACAAACCGGAGGAAGGUGUGGAUGACGUCAAGUCAUCAUGCCCCUUACGUCUUGGGCUACACACGUACUACAAUGGGUAGGACAAAGGGCAGCGAAGCCGCGAGGUGGAGCAAAACUCGUAAACCUAUCCUCAGUUCAGAUUGCAGGCUGCAACUCGCCUGCAUGAAGGAGGAAUCGCUAGUAAUCGCAGGUCAGCAUACUGCGGUGAAUACGUUCCCGGGCCUUGUACACACCGCCCGUCACACCAUGGGAGUUGGCCACGCCCGAAGUCGUUACCCUAACCGUUCGCGGAGGGGGACGCCGAAGGUGGGGCUGAUGACUGGGGUGAAGUCGUAACAAGGUAGCCGUACCGGAAGGUGUGGCUGGAUCACCUCCUUACAGGGAGACCUUACCCUCUCUAUCUCGAAAGCAAAUAGCGAUUAGGGAAGAGACCGGUCAACCGAGGUCGUUCGAGGAAUUGAUGAAGCUUUCAAACUAUUCAGUCUAGUCUUUAUCAUCAUCGCAGACGAGCGUUGUUGUUAAAGAGAGCGAGGGCUAUUAGCUCAGGUGGUUAGAGCGCACCCCUGAUAAGGGUGAGGUCCCUGGUUCGAGUCCAGGAUGGCCCACCUCCGUCCGCCUGAACGACCUUAACGUUCUUGCACUUUUAGCAUUGAAGAUAGAUAGCAGCACCUCGCGGAAUAGUGAGCCUGCUGAGAUUUAUCUCAGUAAGAACCUUGAAAACUGCAUAACAAAAGCCAAGAAACAAAGAGUCCGGUGUAGUUCAGUGCAUCGAAGAUUUAGGUCGACCAUAUUUUUGCGAUACCAAGCGCGAGCUUGAGUAGAGUAAGAACUGAGAAUCGAGUUUAGAUCUGAGAGCGAACGACACUAGGAGUCGAGCAAAGUCAACCAAUGUAAGUGGUCAAGCUACAAAGGGCUUACGGUGGAUACCUAGGCACACAGAG